rnacentral:rRNA from 1 species
AUUGAACGCUGGCGGCGUGCUUUACACAUGCAAGUCGAACGGUAACAGGCCGCAAGGUGCUGACGAGUGGCGAACGGGUGAGUAAUGCAUCGGAACGUGCCCAGUCGUGGGGGAUAACGCAGCGAAAGCUGCGCUAAUACCGCAUACGAUCUAUGGAUGAAAGCGGGGGACCGUAAGGCCUCGCGCGAUUGGAGCGGCCGAUGUCAGAUUAGGUAGUUGGUGGGGUAAAGGCUCACCAAGCCAACGAUCUGUAGCUGGUCUGAGAGGACGACCAGCCACACUGGGACUGAGACACGGCCCAGACUCCUACGGGAGGCAGCAGUGGGGAAUUUUGGACAAUGGGCGCAAGCCUGAUCCAGCAAUGCCGCGUGCAGGAAGAAGGCCUUCGGGUUGUAAACUGCUUUUGUACGGAACGAAACGGUCCUGGGUUAAUACCUGGGGCUAAUGACGGUACCGUAAGAAUAAGCACCGGCUAACUACGUGCCAGCCGCCGCAGUAAAAC